AGCCAAUGACAGGACUUGUACUUAUGGACUACUACUGUGUCACGUAGAUGUAACCUCCAAGGACAUCUGCCAAUGGUGAUGGUUGUACUAAAGGGCCACUGGAUCACAUAACACUGGGAUUAGGUGAGAGAUAAAAAGUGCCAAAUAAGACAGCCUUGAUAUGGCUUUUGUCAUACCGCCAUAUGAUAAAAGCAAAUUCCCUUCACUCCUUGUUUCAUAGAUGACUUGGGUCAUACUUUCAAACAAACAUGAUGGAAAAACUGAAGACACAGGUUUGGCUGCUAACCAAAACAUCAAUAUCCCCUGCUGCCAUCCUUCCUUUACUGGACACACAAAGUGUUAAUGCUGAAGCUCCUGACAUACCUACUUUGUGGUGAGUUACAAUGAACCUGCAAACAACAAUGAAAAGUCUCCCAGGACUGAAGAAUACAGUAAAGAUCCUGCUAGUCUGUAUACAUUUCUUAUUGACUUUUCCAACUCUACAUAAAUCACAUAUACCAUUAAGGGAAUGGAGUUGUGUCAGAUUAGAAACUGUCAAUACUUGGAAAUUAAUAAAAACUAAGUAUAGAA